rnacentral:rRNA from 1 species
GACGGAGGGGGCUAGCGUUGUUCGGAAUGACUGGGCGUAAAGGGCGCGUAGGCGGGUUCGCAAGUCUGUGGUGAAAGCCUCCAGCUUAACUGGAGAAGUGCCAUGGAUACUGCGCAUCUUGAGGAGGGUAGGGGACGUCUGGAACGGUCGGUGGAGCGGUGAAAUGCGUAGAUAUCGUCUGGAACGCCAAAGGUGAAAACAGACUGUUGGGAGUGUGCUGACGCUGAGACACGAAAGCCAGGGGAGCAAACGGG